ensembl:lncRNA
AGUGCAUACUGUGACUUCGGGUCUCUUCUGCCGCACUUUCUCCUCUCUGGAACCUCCGCAUGCCUCUCCAGAAGGCAGGAAACACACUCCGUGUAUACCAGAAGACGAUAAAUUCUGCCUGAACUUCUGGCCUUGAGGAAAUCACUGUUGAUCUUCAGGUGAGGAAACAGAAAUGGAUAGAGCCCAAGCAUCUGGCUGAACAUCAUACAGCCUGCAAGAAGGGAGGGAAGCACGCAAACUCAGGCAGUCAGUUCCAAAACCCGGGCUCACAGCCACCACUCCUGUCAAAGAGAAAGCAGAACUAAACUCCUGCUCUAACGGAUUUUCAGUUCUGGUGCAGAAGGUGAAAACAAAUAAGCAGAUAAGUGGAUAUACAACGCAACAUCAGGGAGAGCUGUGAAGAGACAUCGAGCAGCGUAAAGAGCGUGAAAAAGAGGCUUUCUUUUGAGCGUCUGUGGUCAGGAAAGCCUUCCUGGAGGAGGUGGCAAGAGAGAAAACCUGAAUGAAGCAUCGGAGGAUGCCACACAGAUAUGUGGGUGGAAGGGGAUUCAGAGACAAAAAAGCAAUGAAUGAGUCCAGAAUGGGUCUGCCUCCGUCUCCUCUGUGCCCCCAGCACCAACAGCAAAGUAAAACGCCCAUUGUGUGUGUGCUCCGUCAUCUCUGACUCUUCUGUGACCCCCUGGACUGUAGCCCGCCAGGCUCCUCUGCCCAUGGGAUUUCCCAGGCAGGCAUACUGGAGUGGGCUGCCAUUGCCUCCUCUAGGGGAUCUUCCUGACCCAGGGAUCAAAACCGCCCCUCCUGCAUCUCCUGCAUUGGCAGGCAGAUUCUUUACCACUGAGUCAUGAGGGAAGUCCAGCCAUUGAGCACUUGAAUCAUGGUUAGCAUGACUGAGGGAUUGAAUGUUUAAUUUUGUUUACUUCAAAUGAAUUUAAGUAUAAAUAGCCACAGGUGGCUAGUGGCUAUCAUCUUGGACAGUACAGCACUUGACCAG